rnacentral:rRNA from 1 species
AUUGAACGCUGGCGGCAGGCCUAACACAUGCAAGUCGAGCGAGCGGCGGACGGGUGAGUAAUAUGUGGGAAACUGCCCGAUGGGGGGGGAUAAAUACUGGAAACGGUAACUAAUACCCCGUAUCACCAGAUGUGCCCAGAUGGGAUUCGCUGGUAGGUGGGGUAGCGGCUGACUCAGGCGACGAUCCCUAGCUGGCCUGAGAGGAUGACCAGCCACACUGGAACUGAGACACGGUCCAGACUCCUACGGGAGGCAGCAGUGGGGAAUAUUGCACAAUGGGCGCAAGCCUGAUGCAGCCAUGCCGCGUGUGUGAAGAAGGCCUUCGGGUUGUAAAGCACUUUCAGCGGGGAGGCGUUACCCGCAGAAGAAGCACCGGCUAACUCCGUGCCAGCAGCCGCGGUAAUAC